CUUUGGGGCAGCGCCGACGCCGGCCCGCCGGGCGCGCGGGAUGGAGGCCGGGCCCGCCGCCCCGCAGCCCCCCGGCCCCGCGCCGUCGGCGGCCGCCCGCGCACGAGGGGUCCCCGCGGCGGCAUUCCUCCCCGCGCGCUGUUUACGUGACUUAAUGCGCUUCACGGGCUGCGGCUCGUUAUCUGGGCCACCCAAUGACCGACGAAAGAUCUUCCCUCCCUGCUUCUCACAAGGCCGCUUUAAACCAAAUAAAUUUAGCUGUUAAGGGCCAAGAUGUCUGACAAAAGAUCGAAAGGUGUCUUUCCGUGGUCGCUUAAAGAAGCGAAGGAGAAACUUGUGGCUGCGGAAUCCCGAUAAAGACAUUCCUCCCCGGCGCCGGCCGCCUCCCCGCGGCCUGGCUGCGCCCUGACCCCCGAGACGGCCACUUCCGCGGCCCCCACCUCGGAGGGCCCGGCGGGACCUGGGGCCGCGGCACCGGGGAAGUGGCAGUCGCCAGGCUGCCCGGCCUGGGAGCGCCAGGCCCGGGGUGCGGGGAGCCGGGCAGCUCCAGGCCGGAGCUGGGCGCCCGAUGCAGCCCCCCUGCACUGCUCAGAAAAACGAAACAGUGGGGCCUAAAUCACCAUCCCAUUUGGAUUAUUUUCUGCGACGACUAGUACGACAAAGCCGACCCACCGCUCCCGCCCCGCCCCCGCUCCCCGCGGUCUUGCCGAGGGGCCGUGCUGCUCCACGUCCUGGUCAGCGGGAGCGGCCCUUCUUGGGAACCCCAGUUCGAACGCGGCCGCUGGAACUGAGGCCAAUGCGGAGGGUGUGGACUCGCAGGCUAACGGCGUGCAGCACCCCAUCUUCUAAAACAAGAUCUAAACUUCAAUCAUAAAAACUUCAAAAAAGAAGUCAGUGGGACAUAACAAAGAGUACUGUUCUCUGGAUAAAAUGACAGGGAAAGAGAUUUGUUUUUCAAAGGCAGAGUCUGGAGGGACCUUGAAAGCUUCUCGAUGCAGGUAAUCCAGAUUUCUUUUCAUUGCGAGGGAUGUGUGAGAAUUGAUGCCCUAUUUGAAGAAAACCAGCCACUGUCCACACCGAGGGUCCUCCCUCCCUGGAAGCCCCCAAAUACAUAGGAAACAGGGUAAGACAUGCUAAGGAAAUUCAGUUCAAACACUUGCACACAACACUACAAAGGUGGAGAUCUCACAAGAAUACCGUGGAUAAAGUUUCUACCCUACGGAAUUGUCACUGUAAAUAUCCUACCUAAAUAGAUGCACCCCAAAGAGAUUCACAGCACAGACCCAGCUGCACGUCGGUUCAACUGUCCUUCUAUUCUGUAACGUUAAGAACAAAGGUCAGUGUCAUACUUUCUCUUAUCUGCUUCAUCUCUCACACUGAUACAGACUGUGGGCUGAAGAAAGAAGCAAAAGAAUUGUCUCUCACUUCCUCCCUCCACGUACCAAACCCGGGGCUCACUGAAGCGCAUUAUUUCUGGACAUAACCCUAAGUCAGUCAUUCAGGGAGAGAAGCCGCAUCUGAACAGCCGUUCUCUUGCCUACAGAACAACUUCCAGGCCAUAGCAGAGGGGUUCAACUUCUUUGUAGGUGACCAUAUAAUGAGGAACAACAGGGCGGUGAAUAGGAAUGAUGUGGGAGGAAGAUUUAUUCCAAUCUGCACCACUGUGAGACUCAUGGAGGAGAAUGAGAUCUAUUGACUUCUUUUGAAUCAAGAUAUGGAGGGAAAGCCCAAGGCAAUGCUAUGAAAUAGGUGAAAAGGCCUUUGGUCCCUUGCUCCUAUAGCCGGUGCUGUGUAACCAACAGGGACUCUGAUCAGUCUGUUCCACACACAAUCCUUCCCUUCUUCCCUCUCCGGGCAACUGAUCCGCAGACAGGUGGCCACCAGGCUGCUCUGAGCCAGUGUGUUCCGGGAGUUAAUGGGCUAAUAACCAGCUCGUCAGGGUGACAUACUGUGUUUCAGUGGAGGCUUUGUGUAGUACGGUUUCUUAAAGGAGUGAGAGGUGGAAUUUCGGACUCCUUGGCAGACCUGUGGGAGAGAUUUGGGGGGUGGAGGGGAGGGUCUUAGUAAUAUUUCAUUCCUGCCAGGUAGGCCACCACCUACCACACCUAUAGGUAAGGGGGGUUCACCUAAUCUUGGUGCCAAGCAUGGAACUUUUCAUUUCAAGGCACUCUCUGCACUUGCUUGAUCACUUGUUUUUCAAUCUGCAACUUAAAAGUUGAAUGAAAAGUAUUAUGAACCAUUGCAUUUUCAUGUUGAAACCAUCUAAAGAUGGCAAAUAUCUCUACUCUUAGAAAAAGUCCCUACUUUGACUAACCCAUGGGUGGAGAAGGAGAAAAUUACUAUUUGCUUUUGCUUAGAAAUGUGAGCCUGUUUGGAUCUCUCAGGUUUCCAUAAAACUGACAAAUCAGAAAAUGAGUUAGCUGUAGGAGAUAAGGUAUUCUGUGUAUAAAUAUUUAGGGGCGCGAUGUGAGCACUAUGCUAGAAUUUCAAAAAUGGUUAAAAUCAUGAUGGCAAAUUCUCAACUGCUGUGAAAACAAACAAGAUACAGCUUGCUGAAUGGGAAAUGAACAAUCUUUAAAUGCUGUGUUAUUCGAGAAUGCUGCCCUAGUGCAUUGUACUUACUUAAAAUGAGCCAGUAACAAAGAAUCACAGAAUGUUAAAGCCAGAAGCUGCCUUAAACUUCAUCUAAUAUUACACCCUCAUGAGAAACCUGAGACCCAGAGGGUCCCCAAAAGUUGAUUUGUAAGUUGCUUAUUUGGAACUUGGAGCAUUUUCUCAUAGAAAUAAUGUGGUAAAUGAUGGUUAGAGCCCAAAAAACCUCGCCCCCCCGCCACCUUAUUACACAGUACUGUAUGCUUGGACACUAUUGUUUUCUGUCUUCACUGCAAGUGUACACCAUUAAUCUACAUUCCUGGUUAAUAGGAGCAGUUGACAUAACAUCACGUCAGAAGGAAGACACAGCCCCUAGAAAUGGGCCAUCUGAUGCCUAGACACAAAACACCUCCAACUCUCUGUAAAGGUUAGAAUAUUUUUGGUUCCAAGACACCAAAACUCUUCUCUAAGUAGAUUGAACAAUGAGGACGUUCAUGUGUUUGUGUAAAUGGAAGUUAGAGUGGGGCGAGCUGCAGAGUUGGGUUAACCCAGGAACUCCGGCUCCGUUUCUCUGCCACUCCCUUCUACGUGCUUUACCCAUUUGUUGAUUUCAUCUUUAGGUCACUUCUCUCAGGUGGCAAAAGGACUGUGGUGGUUCUUGUACAUCCUGUAAUGGCAUCCAGAAGAAGAGAGAGAAAACCGUGGCCACAGGAUUCCAAUCAGGAAUCCUGAGAAUCACCUUGAUUGGAUCCCAUAAGUCAUAUGCCCACCCCUGAACCAAUAACCUUAGCUUGAGAGUGGAAUGGGCUGAGUCAGUUAAGCCAACCAAGCAUUAGGGGUGAGAUCAUCUCCCCUCAAAGUAAGGGUGAUGAUGUAAACUAAAAGGAAAAUGUGGGUCCACUGAGAUGUGUGAAGGGGAGAAAAUGGAUAGAAACCAACAAUAUCCACUAAACCAUCUUUCCCCGUUGACCCCAGCCCCAGCCCCUGAGGGAAGGUAUUAUGUGGCAUGGUGGAGCUAAGGAAGCUGGAUUAGCAGGGGCAGGCACACAAGUGUAGAUCAGAAGGAGGAAGUGGAAAUGUUCUACUUCUGUUCACUCCAUCUUAGAGCACACGCUACCUCCAUCCUCUAGAAGCCCCAGACCAUGUAUUCCCACUCUGUGUCUCAAGUCCUAACUACUGAGACCUUCACUCCAGCUUAGAACUUUUGGAUCUGCGACCACUACUAGAAAGGAAAAUAUCAAAAGAAAAAUAUACCUUUUCUUGCAUCAUUUAGAAGUGCCUACAUGUCUUCCGUUUCCUUUCCAUCCCACUUCCUUGUCGAAGGGAAACUUAAAGGCCCUAGAAAUAUGACUCAUUCUUUGUCCCCUGACAAAAUCGCUUUGGUACCCACUGAUUUCCCAGCAUGCUUUGGGAUGAAACUAUGGUGGCUUUGAAUCCACUUUUGAUGAUCUGCCUUUAGUCACUCGCAUUGAGAACUGCAAGGUUAACCGUGAGGCUAUCUAAACAAAUGUACAAAGAAAGUGGCAUUAACACUGCUUUCACAAUUACCCUCACAUUAAUAAAAGUACAUUUACCCAA